rnacentral:rRNA from 1 species
AAAGAGUUAAUUAAUUAUUAAAGUUAUUGUAGUAAAAAUAUUUUUAAUAAUUAAUUUGAAAUGAAAUGUUAAUCGUUUUUAAAUAUAUCUAGUUUUUUUAGAAAAAAAUUUAAUUUUAAAUUUAUAAAAUAAUUUAAAUUAAUUAAUUAAUUUAAAUUAAAAAUAAAUUUUAUAUUUUAAGGGAUAAGCUUUAAAUUAAAUUUUUAUAAUAAAAAAUAUUUUAUUUGAAAAUUUUAUAAUUUAUAUUGUUAAUAAAUUUUAUUUUAUUAUAAAUAAUUUCAUUUAUUAAUAAAAUUUAAAAAUUUUUAUUUAAUUUUUUAUAAAGAAAUAAUUUUCAAUAAUAAAAAUUUAGGUAUAAUGAUAAAAUUAGUAUAUUUGUUUAUAUAAUAGAUAUAAAUAAUUUAAUUAUUAUUUUUUUUUUAUAAUUAAAUUAAUAAAAAGGAAUUCGGCAAAUAUUUAUUUUCACUUGUUUAUCAAAAACAUGUCUUUUUGUUUUUAAUUUAAAGUCUAAUCUGCCCACUGAUAAAAAUUAAAGGGCUGCAGUAUUUUGACUGUACAAAGGUAGCAUAAUCAUUAGUCUCUUAAUUGGUGACUUGUAUGAAAGAUUGGAUGAAAAAUAUACUGUCUCUUUAUUAAUUUGUAGAAUUUAAUUUUUUAUUUAAAAAGUUAAAAUAUUAUAAAAAGACGAGAAGACCCUAUAGAGUUUAAUAAAUAUUUUUUUAAUGAAUUAUUUAUAUUUUUAAAAUUUUUAUAAUUAUAUUUAUUUUAUUGGGGUGAUAAAAAAAUAAGUAAAACUUUUUUUAAAAUUACACAAAUAUAAUUGGUUAAUUGAUCCAAUUUUAUUGAUUAUAAGAUUAAAUUACCUUAGGGAUAACAGCGUAAUUUUUUUUUUUAGUUCAAAUAAGAAAUAAAGUUUGCGACCUCGAUGUUGGAUUAAGAUAAAAUUUAAAUGCAAAAGUUUAAAAUUUUUG